UACAGAGACUGCAAGCGUUAUUCGGAUUCACUGGGCGUAAAGGGUGCGCAGGCGGUUGGGUGUGUCAGAUGUGAAAUCCCGAGGCUCAACCUCGGAACUGCGUCUGAUACUGGGUGGCUUGAGUGCAGGAGAGGAAUGCGGAAUUCCAGGUGUAGCGGUGAAAUGCGUAGAUAUCUGGAGGAACACCGGUGACGAAGGCGGUGGUCUGGGCAUUAACUGACGCUGAGGAGCGAAAGCAUGGGGAGCGAACAGG
rnacentral:rRNA from 1 species